rnacentral:rRNA from 1 species
ACGGAAGGCAGCAGUGGGGGAUAUUGCACAAUGGGGGAAACCCUGAUGCAGCGACGCCGCGUGAGUGAAGAAGUAUUUCGGUAUGUAAAGCUCUAUCAGCAGGGAAGAUAAUGACGGUACCUGACUAAGAAGCACCGGCUAAAUACGUGCCAGCAGCCGCGGUAAUACGUAUGGUGCAAGCGUUAUCCGGAUUUACUGGGUGUAAAGGGAGCGCAGACGGCAUAGCAAGCCAGAUGUGAAAGGUGGGGGCUCAACCCCCAAACUGCAUUUGGAACUGUUAAGCUAGAGUGUCGGAGAGGUAAGUGGAAUUCCUAGUGUAGCGGUGAAAUGCGUAGAUAUUAGGAGGAACACCAGUGGCGAAGGCGGCUUACUGGACUGUAACUGACGUUGAGGCUCGAAAGCGUGGGGAGCAAACAGGAUUAGAUACCCUGGUA